CCCUUAGAUGUUCUGGGCUGCACGCGCGCUACACUGACGCACGCAACAGGUGCCUGCUCCGAGAGGACUGGGUAAUCAUUUGAGUGUGCGUCGUGAUGGGGAUAGAAUAUUGUAAUUAUUACUCUUCAACGAGGAAUUCCUAGUAAGCGCCAGUCAGCAGCUUGCGCUGAUUACGUCCCUGCCCUUUGUACACACCGCCCGUCGCUCCUACCGAUGGGUGAUCCGGUGAAUGAUUCGGACUUCAGCGGCUCCCCUGGGGUGCGCCAGAGAAAGUUUUGUGAACCUUAUCACUUGGAGGAAGGAGAAGUCGUAACA
rnacentral:rRNA from 1 species